rnacentral:rRNA from 1 species
UACGUAGGAGACGAGCGUUGUCCGGAAUUACUGGGCGUAAAGCGCGUGUAGGCGGAUGAGCAAGUCUGCUGUGAAAGCUCCUGGCUUAACCGGGAGUGGUCGGUGGAAACUGCUCGUCUGGAGGACGGUAGAGGUAGGUAGAAUUCCCGGUGUAGUGGUGAAAUGCGUAGAUAUUGGGAGGAACACCAGUGGCGAAGGCGGCUACCUGGACCGGUUCUGACGCUGAUGCGCGAAAGCGUGGGUAGCAAACAGG